UUUGAUCCUGGCUCAGAUUGAACGCUGGCGGCAUGCUUUACACAUGCAAGUCGAACGGCAGCACGGGGGCAACCCUGGUGGCGAGUGGCGAACGGGUGAGUAAUAUAUCGGAACGUACCCGGAAAUGGGGGAUAACGUAGCGAAAGUUACGCUAAUACCGCAUAUGCCCUAAGGGGGAAAGCGGGGGAUUCGCAAGAACCUCGCGUUUUCGGAGCGGCCGAUAUCGGAUUAGCUAGUAGGUGAGGUAAAGGCUCACCUAGGCGACGAUCCGUAGCUGGUCUGAGAGGACGACCAGCCACACUGGAACUGAGACACGGUCCAGACUCCUACGGGAGGCAGCAGUGGGGAAUUUUGGACAAUGGGCGCAAGCCUGAUCAGCCAUGCCGCGUGAGUGAAGAAGGCCUCGGUUCGGUUAAAGGUACGUAC
rnacentral:rRNA from 1 species